CUUAGCCAAUCGGGAUCAGCUUAGAUUGUGUGGUCCGACGGCAGCCAAUAGGGGAAGGACACAGAAACAGGAACUGCGUGCGGAGUCAAAACGCUUUUCCCUCCUUUGUUCCGCGUGGCUUGCGGCUGCGUCGGGGGCCGCCUCCCGCUUCUGCACAAGUCACCGUACCUUGCUGAGAAUUUUUCUAAGUGCGGGAUUCUUUCGGUUACCCCGAGCGCUAGUUUCCGACACAUUUGGGGAUUCGUCCGGGAUCCUAUUCUCCUUCGGGAGGGGCUGGCGAUGUUCUGUUCUCGGGAGACGUGUCCCCACUGCCUCCUUGUGGUGGCCCCAGGAGGGGAGGACGGAGUCCCGCCCGAAGUGAUGAUAAAUCCGGACUCUCAGCAACGUGGGCAAUAGGGAGGAUCUUGAAGAAUUCCACCGCGACCAGGUAACUGUGCACAGACCGAGAUCGCGCGUGUACCCUGUUUGGCAGAGUUAAUCGGGAUCAGCUUAGAUGGUGAGGUCUGACCCCAGCCGACGGGAAGGACACAGGAACGGGAACUGCGUUAGGAUCAGGAACGUCCCUCUGGUCUGUGUGCUCUUGGGAUUGUAACGCGCAAGCAGCGCCCCUCUGCGGAAGUAAAGGUGCCUUGCUGAUAA